rnacentral:rRNA from 1 species
AACGAACGCUGGCGGCAGGCCUAACACAUGCAAGUCGAACGGGAUCUUCGGAUCUAGUGGCGGACGGGUGAGUAACGCGUGGGAACGUGCCCUUUGGUUCGGAAUAGCCCUGGGAAACUGGGAGUAAUACCGGAUGUGGUCGAGAGACGAAAGAUUUAUCGCCAAAGGAUCGGCCCGCGUUGGAUUAGGUAGUUGGUGGGGUAAUGGCCUACCAAGCCGACGAUCCAUAGCUGGUUUGAGAGGAUGAUCAGCCACACUGGGACUGAGACACGGCCCAGACUCCUACGGGAGGCAGCAGUGGGGAAUCUUAGACAAUGGGGGAAACCCUGAUCUAGCCAUGCCGCGUGUGCGAUGAAGGCCUUAGGGUUGUAAAGCUCUUUCGUGGGGGAAGAUAAUGACUGUACCCCAAGAAGAAGCCCCGGCUAACUCCGUGCCAGCCGCCGCAGUAAAAC